rnacentral:rRNA from 1 species
UAACCGGAUUAGAUACCCUGGUAGUCCAUGCCGUAAACGUUGGGCACUAGGUGUGGGGUCUAUUCAACGGACUCCGUGCCGCAGCUAACGCAUUAAGUGCCCCGCCUGGGGAGUACGGCCGCAAGGCUAAAACUCAAAGGAAUUGACGGGGGCCCGCACAAGCAGCGGAGCAUGUUGCUUAAUUCGAGGCAACGCGAAGAACCUUACCUGGGUUUGACAUGUAGAGAAAAGCCGUAGAGAUACGGUGUCCUUCGGGGUUCUACACAGGUGGUGCAUGGUCGUCGUCAGCUCGUGUCGUGAGAUGUUGGGUUAAGUCCCGCAACGAGCGCAACCCUUGUCCUAUGUUGCCAGCACGUCAUGGUGGGGACUCGUAGGAGACUGCCGGGGUCAACUCGGAGGAAGGUGGGGAUGACGUAA